rnacentral:rRNA from 1 species
GAAAGUAAGCAAGGGCGCAUGGCGGAUGCCUUGGCUCUCGGAGGCGAUGAAGGACGUGAUAAGCUGCGAUAAGCUUCGGGAAGGUGCAAAUAACCUUUGAUCCGAAGAUUUCCGAAUGGGACAACCCGGCAUUCUGAAGGAAUGUCAUCCAUCCUAGAUGGAGGCUAACACAGGGAACUGAAACAUCUUAGUACCUGUAGGAAAAGAAAAUAAUAAUGAUUCCCCUAGUAGUGGCGAGCGAACGGGGAUUAGCCCAAACCAAUGUUGUUACGGCAAUAUUGGGGUUGUAGGACCACGAUAUCGCAAGAACUUUAGUGAGAAGAACCCUUUGGAAAAUGGGACCAUAGACGGUGAUAGUCCGGUAUUCGAAGCUAAACGAAGCGUAGUGGUAUCCUGAGUAGCGCGGGACACGAGGAAUCUUGCGUGAAUCUGCCGGGACCAUCCGGUAAGGCUAAAUACUCCCGAGAGACCGAUAGCGAACCAGUACUGUGAAGGAAAGGUGAAAAGCACUUCGAAUAGAAGAGUGAAAUAGUCCCUGAAACCGUGCGCCUACAAGCGGUCGGAGCAACUUCGGUUGUGACGGCGUGCCUUUUGCAUAAUGAACCUACGAGUUACUUUUUCCGGCAAGGUUAAGGAUCUUGAGAUCCGCAGCCGAAGCGAAAGCGAGUCUUAAUAGGGCGAUUAGUCGGAAGGAGUAGACGCGAAACCAAGUGAUCUACCCUUGGUCAGGUUGAAGGUUAGGUAACACUAACUGGAGGACCGAACCGAUAAGCGUUGAAAAGCUUCCGGAUGAACUGAGGGUGGGGGUGAAAGGCUAAUCAAACUUGGAGAUAGCUCGUACUCCCCGAAAUGCAUUUAGGUGCAGCCUUGGGAAUUACUACUGUGAGGUAGAGCGACUGAUAAGAUGCGAGGGCUUCACCGCCUAUCAAGUCUUGAUAAACUCCGAAUGCGCAGUAGUUCGAUCCCAGGAGUGAGGGCAUGGGUGCUAAGGUCCAUGUCCUAAAGGAGAAGAAUCCGGACCAUCAGCUAAGGUCCCGAAAUAAUUGCUAAGUUGAACUAACGAAGUCAGAUUGCUAAGACAGCUAGGAUGUUGGCUUGGAAGCAGCCAUUCAUUUAAAGAGUGCGUAACAGCUCACUAGUCGAGGAGUUUGGCGUGGAUAAUAAUCGGGCAUCAAGCAAUUUACCGAAGCUAUGGGAUGUUAACUAAACACUAACAUCGGUAGGGGAGCAUUCCACUCUGCGUCGAAGGUGAAGCGUGAGCUUUGCUGGAGCGUGUGGAAAAGCAAAUGUAGGUAUAAGUAACGAUAAAGGGGGUGAGAAACCCCCUCGCCGAAAGACUAAGGUUUCCUGAUCAACGCUAAUCGGAUCAGGGUUAGUCGGGUCCUAAGGCUCAGCCGAACGGUGAGGCCGAUGGCAGAACAGGUUAAUAUUCCUGUACUACCUUAAGGAGUGACGUGGAGACGGAGGAGUGACAGCGCCGCGGACUGACGGAAUAGUCCGUUGAAGGGUGUAGAUGUUGAUUAUCCCAGGCAAAUCCGGGAUAAGAGUCGAACCUGAUAGUAUACCAAAUUCUUCGGAAUAAGGUAAUAGUGCGUGUAAGCAUACUCCCAAGAAAAUCCGCUAAACUUAAUCUUUAAGGUACCCGUACCGCAAACGGACACACGUAGUCGGGUUGAAUAUACUAAGGCGCUUGAGUGAUUCACGGUUAAGGAACUAGGCAAAUUGACCCUGUAACUUCGGGAUAAAGGGUCCCAACGAGAGUUGGGCGCAGAGAAUAGGUCCAGGCAACUGUUUAACAAAAACACAGGGCUGUGCCAAAUUGAAAGAUUACGUAUACAGCCUGACACCUGCCCGGUGCUGGAAGGUUAAGAGGAGAUGUCAUCGCAAGAGAAGCAUUGAAUUGAAGCCCCAGUAAACGGCGGCCGUAACUAUAACGGUCCUAAGGUAAGCGAAUUCCUUGUCGGGUAAGUUCCGACCUGCACGAAUGGUGUAAUGAUCUGGACACUGUCUCACGUGAGCUCAGUGAAAUGUAGUAUCGUGAGAUGGCGAUACUCGCGAUGGACGAAAGACCCCGUGACUUACUAUAGCUAACAUUGAAUUGGGUAAAUGA